rnacentral:rRNA from 1 species
AUUCUGGUUGAUCCUGGCGGAGGUUACUGCUAUCGGNGUUUGCCUUAGCCAUGCGAGUCAAAUGUUCUUCGUGAACAUGGCGUACUGCUCAGUAACACGUGGAUAACCUGCCCUCAGGUCUGGCAUAACCCCGGGAAACUGGGGAUAAUUCCGGAUAACGCAUAUGUGCUGGAAUGCUUUAUGCGUCAAAGGUCCUCCGCCUGAGGAUGGGUCUGCGGCCUAUCAGGUANUAGCGGGUGUAAUGUACCUGCUAGCCGACGACGGGUACGGGUUGUGAGAGCAAGAGCCCGGAGAUGGACUCUGAGACAUGAAUCCAGGCCCUACGGGGCGCAGCAGGCGCGAAAACUUUACAAUGCGGGAAACCGUGAUAAGGGGACACCGAGUGCCAGCAACAUUUGCUGGCUGUCCACGUGCGUAAAAUGCACGUGUUAGCAAGGCCGGCAAGACCGGUGCCAGCCGCCGCGGUAACACCGGCGGCCCGAGUGGUGAUCGUUAUUAUUGGGUCUAAAGGGUCCGUAGCCGGUUUGGUCAGUCUUCCGGGAAAUCUGUCAGCUCAACUGAUAGGCUAUCGGGGGAUACUGCUAGACUUGGAACCGGGAGAGGUAAGAGGUACUACAGGGGUAGGAGUGAAAUCUUGUAAUCCCUGUGGGACCACCUGUGGCGAAGGCGUCUUACCAGAACGGGUUCGACGGUGAGGGACGAAAGCUGGGGGCACGAACCGGAUUAGAUACCCGGGUAGUCCCAGCCGUAAACGAUGCUCGCUAGGUGUCAUGCAUGGUGCGACCGUGUAUGGUGCCGUAGGGAAGCCGUGAAGCGAGCCACCUGGGAAGUACGGCCGCAAGGCUGAAACUCAAAGGAAUUGACGGGG